rnacentral:rRNA from 1 species
AACGAACGUUGGCGGCGUGGAUUAGGCAUGCAAGUCGAACGAAGACGGGGUAGCAAUAUCCCGGACUGAGUGGCGAAAGGGGCAGUAAGGCGUGGGUAACCUACCCCGGGGAUCGGGAUAGCCUUCCUAACGGAUGGGUAAUACCGGGCGAUCUGACGAGGGGGCAUCUUCUUGUCAGGAAAUGAGUUUCGCCUCGGGAGGGGCUCACGUGAUAUUAGCUUGUUGGCGGGGUGACGGCCCACCAAGGCAGAGAUGUCUAGCGGGUAUGAGAGUACGACCCGCGCCACUGGCACUGAGACACUGGCCAGACACCUACGGGUGGCUGCAGUCGAGGAUCUUCGGCAAUGGGCGCAAGCCUGACCGAGCGACGCCGCGUGCGCGAUGAAGGCCUGGUUGUAA